AUUAAGACUAUUUUGGGCCAAGUGGAAGGCCCAUUUAGUGACCCUCAAUUGGCCCAAGCGGUGGCACCGCUUGAGGCUCAACAUCCCAAGUGGUCUAGGUAGUGGUACCACCUAGACUAGGUGAUAGUAUCAUUGUAGUUAAUGCUGUCAAGCGAUGGUACCGCCCUGUCAAGCGAUAGAACCGCCAAAGCCUAGUUUUCAAGGCUUUAUCAAG
rnacentral:lncRNA from 1 species